AUUGAACGCUGGCGGCAGGCCUAACACAUGCAAGUCGAACGAGUGGCGGACGGGUGAGUAAUUUCUGGGAAACUGCCUGAUGGAGGGGGAUAACUACUGGAAACGGUGGCUAAUACCGCAUACCAUCAGAUGUGCCCAGGUGGGAUGAGCUAGUUGGUGGGGUAACGGCUCACCAAGGCGACGAUCCCUAGCGGGUCUGAGAGGCUGACCAGCCACACUGGAACUGAGACACGGUCCAGACUCCUACGGGAGGCAGCAGUGGGGAAUAUUGCACAAUGGGCGCAAGCCUGAUGCAGCCAUGCCGCGUGUAUGAAGAAGGCUUUCGGGUUGUAAAGUACUUUCAGCGGGGAGGCGUUACCCGAAGAAGAAGCACCGGCUAACUCCGUGCCAGCAGCCGCGGUAAUUC
rnacentral:rRNA from 1 species